UGCUCUGGAUUAGGCUUUGGCUUAAGGGAAUGCUGUGGCUGAUUUGAUCUUCAAUCCAGACCACUGAAACUUUCUCUGUAUUAGC
rnacentral:miRNA from 14 species